rnacentral:rRNA from 1 species
ACGAACGCUGGCGGCGUGCCUCAAACAUGCAAGUCGAGCGGGGUUCUGGAAGUGGGCGACCACGGAAGGGACCUAGCGGCGGACGGGUGAGUAACGCAUGGGUAAUCUGCCCAAGGGACCGGGAUAACACCUCGAAAGGGGUGCUAAUACCGGGUGACCCUGGUGCUCCGAGUGGGGGACCAGGGAUAGGUGGCCUCUUGACAAUGCUACUGCCCUUGGAUGAGCCCGCGUCCCAUUAGCUAGUUGGCGGGGUAAAGGCCCACCAAGGCGACGAUGGGUAGCCG